UGGGGCCAGCCGGACUUCGAUUGGCUCCUCCGUCCUUCACUCUGCGCGGGACUAGCGGGUGGGGCUCUGGAGCGCCGUUUUGAAUUUGUGGCGCUUACACAGUGGGCGAGGUAGUGUUUGUGGAGUUCGUGGUGCGGCUGGAGCCAGCGACUCACCGAGAUUAAAUUAUGGGACAGUUGACUAGAGGACACGAUGUUUCCUUGAUUACAGAGCUUCUUUGAUUGCAGAAUUUCACGUACUCACUGUUGCAUAUUCCUUUUGACUACUAAUUUGGAGAACCUAUAAUCCGUUUAGAAGGAUGCAAUGUGACCAGUGUAUAUCAUGCAGAAUUCCUCAGGAAUAUAGGGAGAAGAGUGGAGAUUAAAAGACGUAGUACUAUAAAGAGGAUGGCUUUCAGCUACUAGUACAUGAGUGAAGACACCACAAUAAAGCAAGAUGGAGUGCAGAGCAACAAGUUUUGUGCUUCGAAACCUGCUCUUGUAUGACUGUGGCAGUAAUUUGGAGUUAAUUUGUACAGUUCCUCAAUAAAAGACUCUGUGUUUUAUUA